rnacentral:rRNA from 1 species
CGACUUUCGAACGCAUAUUGCAGMUCAGGUUUGAUCUGAGCUUUGUCUGUCUGAGCGUCGUUUUAACGCCAAACRCUAUCAAAAGAUUUGUUUCGAUGCUAUACGCCUUGUGURAAGUAUCGUCGAAUUAUUUGUUCUUGUGUAACUUUUGUUCGAUUGCCAGUAUCACUGUUUUGUGUGUACGGCUAUUGGCAUUACGUGUCAAUUYAAGCUUGCAUAGAAARAGUGGGCGAUCAUUAAAUGUUCAAAAGUGUGUUUAUUUUCGACCUCAGAUCAGGCGAGAUUACCCCCUGAAUUUAAGC